ensembl:lncRNA
GCAGUAUAAAAAUCAUAUAAAUAAAUAUUUUAAAUCUUUGGGUGAAUUAUGUAUUAACGAUUCUAAUGAAUUUGCACGAAACACAUACUAUGAUAAUAAAAAUAAUGAUAAUGUUACAAGUAUAUUAAACACGGAUGAUGUAGUUGUAGAUGGGCUUGACAAUUUGAAGGACACGACUAGUCAGGGUGAAGAAAACAAAAUCAAAUCUAUUUCUAAUUUAAAAAACAAAGGCGACACAGGAGAACAUAUAAAAAGUUCAGGAGAGGGCGUGAAUGAUUAUUUAGGAGGCAUAGGUUGUAACAGCAUGAUGGAUCAUAAUAGUAACGAUAAAACGGACAAAACGGGCAAAACGGACAAAACGGACAAAACGGACAAAACGGGCAAAACGGACAAAACGGACAAAACGGGCAAAACAGACAAUGAAAAUAAUGGUAGCAAUAAGGGUGGUGAUAGUGAUAGCAAUACAAAAAGUAAAAAUAGUAAUGAAGAUAUAACUACUUAUAACAUAGAUGUAUUGCAAAAUUUUUCAAUUCAGAAGUUUUUUUAUCAAAUAUUAAUAGAUUUAGACAGAACAAUGUAUAUAAUUAAAAAAAACCAAGAAUAUUAUAAAAAAUAUAACAUAAAUACAGAUAAUUUUUUGCUUUCUAUUAACAUAUGUGAAACUAAAGCAAAGUUAAAUUUGUUGUUACAAAUGUAUGUUCUUUUUAAGCCUGAAUUAGGGUAUGUCCAGGGAAUGUCCUACAUCGCCUUGGUGUUUCUGUUACACUGUAAAUUAGAGAAAGCCUUUGUUUAUUUCUCAAAUUUCAUGGAUCGAAAAAAUAUAUUCAACAUGUACAGUUUUAACAAGGAAGAAAUAAAAAUUUACAUAUAUACUAUUAAGGAAAUAUUAUCUAAACAAAAUAUAGAAACAUAUAAAGAAAUUGUCAAACAUUAUAACAUAGAUAAUAUUUUCAUUCAAUGGAUGUAUACAAUUUUUUUAACGUAAUUUAACUUUUUUUUUUUUUUUUUUUUUUAUUAUAAUAUAUAUGUAAACUUGUAUAUGUAUUAUUUUAUAUAAAUCUACUAAUCGCUUCUUGUUACUUUAUUUUUUUCUCACAGGUGUUUACCUUUUCAAAUUUUUAUCCGCAUAUUUGACAUUUAUACUUUUUACGAAAAUAUAAUAUAUGAGGUAAUUUAAAAAAAAUGACGACAUACAAAUAAUUUGAUCAUAGGAGUUUAUUUAUUGUACACAUGUAUACACUUAUAUAUAUAUAUAUAUAUAUAUAUAUAUAUACAUAUGUUUUUUCUUUUUUUUUUUUUUUUUCAAUUUAGACCAUAUUAUGUAUUUUUACAUAUAUUAAUAAGCUUCAUUCAAUGGAUAACGUUGACAGUUUAAUCAAAAAUUUACCAUCCUUCUCUUUUAACACGCACAUACAAGUAAUUUAUUCAGAAAUACAUUUUUUUUUUUUUUUUUUUUUUUUUUUUUACACUAUUUUAUUUAUUGAUCAUUACAUUAUUUGUAACUUAUUGUUACUGUUCACUAUAUUAUAAUUUUUACUCGUUUUUAACAGGAAGACAAAUUUUGGAAUAUGUUAAAAAAGUCGAAAAUAAAAAAAAGAAAAAUACUUUAUUAUAGGGAAAA